ACACGUAGGGGCCUGACGUUGUUCGGAAUCAUUGGGCGUAAAGGGCGCGCAGGCGGCCGUCCAAGUCCGGUGUUAAAUGGUCGGGCUCAACCCGAUCAUGCGCUGGAAACUGGGCGGCUUGAGUCCCGUAGGGGAUGCCGGAAUUCCAGGUGUAGGGGUGAAAUCUGUAGAUAUCUGGAAGAACACCGAUGGCGAAGGCAGGCAUCUGGCCGGAGACUGACGCUGAGGCGCGAAGGCGCGGGGAGCGAACAGGUUUAGAUACCCUGGUAGUCCGCGCAGUAAACGAUGCGCACCAGGUGUCGGGCGGCAGCGCCCGGUACCGGAGCUAACGCGAUGAGUGCGCCGCCUGGGGAGUAUGCCCGCAAGGGUGAAACUUAAAUGAAUUGGCGGGG
rnacentral:rRNA from 1 species